rnacentral:rRNA from 1 species
UCAUGGAGAGUUUGAUCCUGGCUCAGGACGAACGCUGGCGGCGUGCUUAACACAUGCAAGUCGAACGAGAAGAGAUGAGAAGCUUGCUUCUUAUUGAUUCGAGUGGCAAACGGGUGAGUAACGCGUAAGCAACCUGCCCUUCAGAUGGGGACAACAGCUGGAAACGGCUGCUAAUACCGAAUACGUUCUUUUUGUCGCAUGGCAGAGGGAAGAAAGGGAGGCUCUUCGGAGCUUUCGCUGAAGGAGGGGCUUGCGUCUGAUUAGCUAGUUGGAGGGGUAACGGCCCACCAAGGCGACGAUCAGUAGCCGGUCUGAGAGGAUGAACGGCCACAUUGGGAC